AUGAACGCUGGCGGCGUGGAUAAGGCAUGCAAGUCGGACGAUUUCCUUUUUUGAAGAAGAUGCGAUUACAUCAAGUCAACUGAUAUUUUGGAGAUAGUGGCGAACGAGCUAGUAACACCUUGGUACGUACCCAAAAGUUUGGUAUAGCUCGCCGAAAGGCGGGUAAUCCCAAAUAGUCCCUUCAUCUAUCGGAUGAUAGGGUAAAGUAGCAAUACGCUUUCGGAUCGGCCUAGGUCCGAUCAGUUAGUUGGUGAGGUAAUGGCUCACCAAGACAAUGACCGGUAGGGG
rnacentral:rRNA from 1 species